AUUAGACCCGAUUCUUCUGAAUUGCAGGGGGCAUGGAUUUCGGCUUCAGAAAAUGGUGCGAAGAGGGGGGAGGCAAUCUCUGACCCGCAACCACGACAGGCAAGGCUCUCAAAAGAAGUCAGUUCUGUUCUGACCCUGCGAUAUCCGCCUCUUGGAAACAGAGGCUAAAAGACCUACAGGAACCCCGGUCCUCUGCCUGCAGCUGGGAUCGGAAUCUUCUCCGCAACGGGGAACAAAUCACCGGGUCCCCUUCAAUAAAGGAUUUCUACUCAAUCCGGCCUCGUCUAAAAAUAAUAAAAAAAAUAU